GACGGACGCUGGCGGCGUGCUUAACACAUGCAAGUCGAACGAUGACGACCGAGCUUGCUCGGUCUGAUUAGUGGCGAACGGGUGAGUAACACGUGAGCAACCUGCCCUUCACUCUGGGAUAACCUCGGGAAAUCGGGGCUAAUACCGGAUAUGAGCUCCUGUCGCAUGGCGGGUGUUGGAAAGUUUUUCGGUGGAGGAUGGGCUCGCGGCCUAUCAGUUUGUUGGUGAGGUAGUGGCUCACCAAGGCGAUGACGGGUAGCCGGCCUGAGAGGGCGACCGGCCACACUGGGACUGAGACACGGCCCAGACUCCUACGGGAGGCAGCAGUGGGGAAUAUUGCACAAUGGGCGAAAGCCUGAUGCAGCGACGCCGCGUGAGGGAUGACGGCCUUCGGGUUGUAAACCUCUUUCAGCAGGGAAGAAGCGAAAGUGACGGUACCUGCAGAAGAAGCGCCGGCUAACUACGUG
rnacentral:rRNA from 1 species